rnacentral:rRNA from 1 species
AUUGAACGCUGGCGGCAGGCCUAACACAUGCAAGUCGAGCGAGCGGCGGACGGGUGAGUAAUGUGUGGGGAUCUGCCCGAUAGGGGGGGAUAACUACUAGACAGGAUGGCUAACACCGCAACCUAUCGGAUGAACCCAUUGGUGAUUGGCUAGUAGGUGGGGUAAGGGCUCACCUAGGCGACGAUCUCUAGCUGGUCUGAGAGGAUGAACAGCCACACUGGAACUGAGACACGGCCCAGACUCCUACGGGAGGCAGCAGUGGGGAAUAUUGCACAAUGGGCGCAAGCCUGAUGCAGCCAUGCCGCGUGUAUGAAGAAGGCCUUAGGGUUGUAAAGUACUUUCAGCGGGGAGGCGUUACCCGCAGAAGAAGCACCGGCUAACUCCGUGCCAGCAGCCGCGGUAAUAC